UACGAAGGGGGCUAGCGUUGUUCGGAAUUACUGGGCGUAAAGCGCACGUAGGCGGUUUGUUAAGUCAGGGGUGAAAUCCCAGAGCUCAACUCUGGAACUGCCUUUGAUACUGGCAAGCUCGAGUCCGGAAGAGGUAAGUGGAACUCCUAGUGUAGAGGUGGAAUUCGUAGAUAUUAGGAAGAACACCAGUGGCGAAGGCGGCUUACUGGUCCGGAACUGACGCUGAGGUGCGAAAGCGUGGGGAGCAAACAGG
rnacentral:rRNA from 1 species